GCUAAACUGCUUGAAGUCCAGGCAAAAAGAGGUACUCUUUCUACAACUAUAUUAGUAUUAGUACCGAAUUUAAACGGGAAAUAGCUAAUGUAAAAUUUAUCUGAUAUAGAACACUCAUAUCGAUAAAAUGGUUUGAACUAUUUACUAGAAAAAAAAGGGGGCACCCUGCCCUUUUUUAACCAAUGCCGAAUCGACGACCUAUGUAUAAAAAAGAGAAAUUUUUUGGAUUUGAAGAAAAAAAAAAAGAAUUCUAUUAAUUUUCAUUUUCCGUUUAUUUAGUUAGU
rnacentral:rRNA from 1 species